AUUGAACGCUGGCGGCAUGCCUUACACAUGCAAGUCGAACGGUAACAGGUCUUCGGAUGCUGACGAGUGGCGAACGGGUGAGUAAUACAUCGGAACGUGCCCGAGAGUGGGGGAUAACAAGGCGAAAGCUUUGCUAAUACCGCAUACGAUCUCAGGAUGAAAGCAGGGGACCGCAAGGCCUUGCGCUCACGGAGCGGCCGAUGGCAGAUUAGGUAGUUGGUGGGAUAAAAGCUUACCAAGCCGACGAUCUGUAGCUGGUCUGAGAGGACGACCAGCCACAGUGGGACUGAGGCACGGCCCAGACUCCUACGGGAGGCAGCAGUGGGGAAUUUUGGACAAUGGGCGCAAGCCUGAGCCAGCCAUGCCGCGUGCAGGAUGAAGGCCUUCGGGUUGUAAACUGCUUUUGUACGGAACGAAAAGACUCUGGUUAAUACCUGGGGUCCAUGACGGUACCGUAAGAAUAAGCACCGGCUAACUACGUGCCAGCCGCCGCCGUAACAC
rnacentral:rRNA from 1 species